rnacentral:rRNA from 1 species
CUACGGGACGCUCCAGUGGGGAAUCUUGCACAAUGGACGGAAGUCUGAUGCAGCGAUUCCGCGUGGAGGAUGACGCAUUACGGUGUGUAAACUCCUUUUUUGGUGGAAGACGAAUGACGGUACACCAAGAAUAAGGGACGGCUAACUACGUGCCAGCAGCCGCGGUAAUACGUAGGUCCCAAGCGUUAUCCGGAUUUACUGGGCGUAAAGUGUCCGUAGCCCGAUAUACAAGUCAGUUUUCAAAUAUCCUGGCUCAACCAGGAAAAGGGAAUAGAUACUGUAUAUCUAGAGAAUAUUGGAGGUUAGUGGAAUUUCAGGUGGAGCGGUGAAAUGUGUUGAUAUCUGAAGGAACGCCGAAAGCGAAAGCAGCUAACUAUGAUAUUUCUGACGGUGAUGGACGAAAGCUUGAGUAGCAAACGGGAUUAGAUACCCCGGUAGUC